UACGUAGGGUGCGAGCGUUAAUCGGAAUUACUGGGCGUAAAGCGUGCGCAGGCGGCUUCGCAAGUCAGACGUGAAAUCCCCGGGCUUAACCUGGGAAUGGCGUUUGAAACUACGGAGCUGGAGUGUGGCAGAGGGAGGUGGAAUUCCGCGUGUAGCAGUGAAAUGCGUAGAGAUGCGGAGGAACACCGAUGGCGAAGGCAGCCUCCUGGGAUAACACUGACGCUCAGGCACGAAAGCGUGGGGAGCAAACAGG
rnacentral:rRNA from 1 species